CUUCCAGCUUUGACUUCACAUUUAGCAAGGGACAUAUCCUCAGCUGAGGAUAAACUAGCGCAGCUCUGUUGAAAUCAACGGUGCUAUUACAUUGAUUGACACCGGCUGGCAUAGUAUGUAAGUGAAAGAAGAUGGGGCAAAAUCCUGCCUCAGACUCACUCAUUCCUGUGCUGUGGAAAGACCAAAGCACAGCAGCCCCACUGUGGGGGUGAGAAGAAAUGGAAUGUGGACAGGCCAGAUCCUCAGCUGGUACCAAUGUCCGUUGCUUUUCUGACUUCAGUGGAGUUACGCUAAUGUGAAGAUCUGGAUGGCUGUAUCUUUUAAAGACAUGAAUUUUGAAUUAUCACUCCAAUGUGGCUUUGAAACCAUUAGCAAUUUAGUAACUUUUCAAUAAAUUACAUGUGAGUUACAGACA